rnacentral:lncRNA from 1 species
UUGAGGUUGUGGUGACUGAAGUCUGCAGAUACCUUGGACAGAUGCUAUGAAAAAUAUAUAUUGUGCAGAGUCUUGAACAAGGUCUUUGUUUGAGAUAGCAAAACAAAGGAACAAUUCUUGGAUUCUUAAAAUCAUAAUCUAAUUUUGGAUUAAACACCAUAUCAUAGAUAUAUUACCCAUGGAGAAGGAAAUCUGCAGGUCAUGCUAAGACUCCCAUUGAGUUCAGCAUCCUCCCCCACCAAAUGGAGGCAAUGGCUUAUUAUGACACAUUCCUUUCUUCUCUCUCGGUUCAUACAUUCGUAUCUCUAGAGGUCAAUUCCAUUCCUACUGCUUAUAGUUACAUAUCCUAUCCUUAUGGAGAAGUUUGCUACAUCAUCUUGAGCAAGAAAAUAACCUUAACUGUGACUUCAAAUUACCUAAAGGAGUCCAUGUUUUCCUAUAUUUUCCUAUUCUCUCAUGAAACUUACUCCCAGAAAGGGAGCUUGUCUAACCGCUCAUGUCCAGGGUCUCAGUCUCUGAAGCAAGAAACAAGACUCCAGGAGGGUGGGAUGUUUUAUCAUGGGCAGCUGCAAUUUAUAAUGACUACAAUAUGUUAUAGCCUUUCUAGUUAUCUGUAAUUUAUACAGCUGUGAUCAGCUCCUGGCUUGCCCAAAGGAAACACACUGAUUCAGAUACAGAUACCUUUAUUUUUGAAGUAUCCCACGUAUGUAUUUCCUAUUCACAUCGGUGUCUUUCCAAAUCUAUGACCUUCAAUUUCAUCUGGUCUACCGGCAUGGCUCUAGCCAGAGCAGCACGUGCACAGACCAAUCUUCGGUCUAGAUUGCACAUGAUGGAGUGAUGAACUGUGAUGUAACCCAUCUAUGAAUCUUUCUACCUUUUCACACACAGGU